GCUCGCAGGCGGUUUCUUAAGUCUGAUGUGAAAGCCCCCGGCUCAACCGGGGAGGACUGUUGGAAACUGGGAAACUUGAGUGCAGAAGAGGAGAGUGGAAUUCCACGUGUAGCGGUGAAAUGCGUAGAGAUGUGGAGGAACACCAGUGGCGAAGGCGACUCUCUGGUCUGUAACUGACGCUGAGGAGCGAAAGCGUGGGGAGCGAACAGGAUUAGAUACCCUGGUAGUCCACGCCGUAAACGAUGAGUGCUAAGUGUUGGAGGGUUUCCGCCCCUUAGUGCUGCAGCUAACGCAUUAAGCACUCCGCCUGGGGAGUACGGUCGCAAGACUGAAACUCAAAGGAAUUGACGGAUGGCCCGCACAAGCGGUGGAGCAUGUGGGUUUAUUCGAAGCAACGCGAAGAACCUUACCAGGUCUUGACAUCCUCUGACAACCCUAGAGAUAGGGCUUUCCCUUCGGGGACAGAGCAGUAGGUGGUGCAUGGUUGUCGUC
rnacentral:rRNA from 1 species